ACGCUGGCGGCAGGCCUAACACAUGCAAGUCGAGCGGUAGAGAGAAGCUUGCUUCUCUUGAGAGCGGCGGACGGGUGAGUAAUGCCUAGGAAUCUGCCUGGUAGUGGGGGAUAACGUUCGGAAACGGACGCUAAUACCGCAUACGUCCUACGGGAGAAAGCAGGGGACCUUCGGGCCUUGCGCUAUCAGAUGAGCCUAGGUCGGAUUAGCUAGUUGGUGGGGUAAUGGCUCACCAAGGCGACGAUCCGUAACUGGUCUGAGAGGAUGAUCAGUCACACUGGAACUGAGACACGGUCCAGACUCCUACGGGAGGCAGCAGUGGGGAAUAUUGGACAAUGGGCGAAAGCCUGAUCCAGCCAUGCCGCGUGUGUGAAGAAGGUCUUCGGAUUGUAAAGCACUUUAAGUUGGGAGGAAGGGCAGUAAAUUAAUACUUUGCUGUUUUGACGUUACCGACAGAAUAAGCACCGGCUAACUCUGUGCCAGCAGCCGCGGUAAUACAGAGGGUGCAAGCGUUAAUCGGAAUUACUGGGCGUAAAGCGCGCGUAGGUGGUUCGUUAAGUUGGAUGUGAAAUCCCCGGGCUCAACCUGGGAACUGCAUUCAAACUGACGAGCUAGAGUAUGGUAGAGGGUGGUGGAAUUUCCUGUGUAGC
rnacentral:rRNA from 1 species